rnacentral:rRNA from 1 species
UACGUGCGUUUUAUAUAUAAUUCUUAUGAAGUUGUUUUCCUAAUCCUAGGUUAAAUUUUGAUUAUAAUUGGUAUAUAUUUAUAAUUUUAAGAUUUGAGAAACGAAUUAGAUUAGUACCUAAUUAGUCAAAAAUUAAAAGAGCAGGAGUAAAGUAGUAUUUAAACUGAAAGAAUAUUGGCAGAUUUUCUAAAUUAUCUUUGGAGGUUGAGUAAUAAUUGAGAACCCUCAUUAACUACUUUUAAAUUUAUUAGUCUCAUGUAUGAUCGUUUAUUUUAUGCUUAAGGUAUAUAAUAAAAAAUUGUUAUUUGUUAAAAUAGAUAUAUAUUUGGUUUAUGUAAGAGUAAAAUUUGACCUACAAUAAGUUGUGUUUGUGGAUUUAUAAUUUAGUAGUUGUAAUAAAAAUGUAAAAGACAGUAAAAGGAUCUUUAUGUUUCUUUGAAGAGUAUUUAGAUGUGGCACAA